GGCGGCGUGCUUAACACAUGCAAGUCGAACGAUGAAGCCCUUCGGGGUGGAUUAGUGGCGAACGGGUGAGUAACACGUGGGCAAUCUGCCCUGCACUCUGGGACAAGCCCUGGAAACGGGGUCUAAUACCGGAUACGACUGUCUCGGGCAUCCGAUGACGGUGGAAAGCUCCGGCGGUGCAGGAUGAGCCCGCGGCCUAUCAGCUUGUUGGUGAGGUAAUGGCUCACCAAGGCGACGACGGGUAGCCGGCCUGAGAGGGCGACCGGCCACACUGGGACUGAGACACGGCCCAGACUCCUACGGGAGGCAGCAGUGGGGAAUAUUGCACAAUGGGCGAAAGCCUGAUGCAGCGACGCCGCGUGAGGGAUGACGGCCUUCGGGUUGUAAACCUCUUUCAGCAGGGAAGAAGCGAGAGUGACGGUACCUGCAGAAGAAGCGCCGGCUAACUACGUGCCAGCAGCCGCGGUAAUACGUAGGGCGCAAGCGUUGUCCGGAAUUAUUGGGCGUAAAGAGCUCGUAGGCGGCUUGUCGCGUCGGUUGUGAAAGCCCGGGGCUUAACCCCGGGUCUGCAGUCGAUACGGGCAGGCUAGAGUUCGGUAGGGGAGAUCGGAAUUCCUGGUGUAGCGGUGAAAUGCGCAGAUAUCAGGAGGAACACCGGUGGCGAAGGCGGAUCUCUGGGCCGAUACUGACGCUGAGGAGCGAAAGCGUGGGGAGCGAACAGGAUUAGAUACCCUGGUAGUCCACGCCGUAAACGGUGGGCACUAGGUGUGGGCAACAUUCCACGUUGUCCGUGCCGCAGCUAACGCAUUAAGUGCCCCGCCUGGGGAGUACGGCCGC
rnacentral:rRNA from 1 species